AUGUCAUGUUUUUAAAUCAAAAUUAUGAGAAACAUAAACGUUGGAUCAGUUUAAUUACUGGAUCGUUUAGUUUCAAAAGACUUGCUCGUGAUGCAAAAUGUCUCAUUUAAAAAACUCAAUGACUAUUUGUGUGUUUGUUGUUCGGCCUUUUGUCUCCGGGGUCGUGUCUCUGCCUUGAAUCACAUGAACUCUAAUUUAUCUUGCACUGGAAGCUUUGUGUUUAUUUCCAUCCUGAGACCAAAUGUUGCAGAAAAAGAUUCAAACUCUCGGCUUCCGAUGUUUUUCUGGUUAUAUUUCUUUCCCCCGUCGGGCUGCGUCUAAUUCCUGCUUGAAGCAACUUAUUGUUUUGACUCCAUCUUUAAAUCUGCAUCUGUUUUGUGGGAUUUAAAAAAAACAACUGAACUUGAACUUUAAAAAUGACAAACACUUCCUGUCACUUCAGCUUUUAUCCUCUGACUCGGGAACGUUAUCUUUAAGUUGUUUUUAAUGUUUGCUACAUGGCCUCUAACUAUACUCGUUCUGAAAACCAAUUGUUGUUGCAGCUUUAAAACACAUUUUUACGGAUUUAACUCACAAAAUAACUGGAAAUAUUUGAAGCAAUUAAAAAAAACGUUGCACUCUUUGAUUUUGGUCUGAAAAAUUCAAUGUUUGAUGUAAAUAUUCAACAUGGGGAAGUCAGAAAGUGGUCGAGCUGCUCUGACUGAAUGGGAUCAGUCUAUGUGCUGGGCAGUGACUCCGCCUGUUGCACUGUUGUAUUGUCUGUAACAUCUGGAAUCUGUAUAUAAUGUGAACGCUGACACAUGACUUCUAACUGUAUAAGAAUCAGCUGAUCUAUUUAUGAGACUGAUGACGCUAAUUAUUCUUGAUGAGAAAAUAUAAAAUGUCGUCUAAGAUA